ACCGACGAAGGCGACUACAACAUCAAGAUGCGCAACAUCCGGCGUUUUCUUGACGAGGGCGACAAGUGCAAGAUCACGCUGCGCUUCCGGGGGCGCGAGAUCACGCACCAGGAACUCGGUCUGGCGCUGUUGCAGCGCAUUCGUGAGGAUCUCGGCGACGCGAUCGUGGUCGAGCAGUUUCCGAAGCUCGAGGGCCGGCAGAUGAUCAUGAUGAUCGCGCCGGGCCGCAAGAAGGCGGGUGGCGCGGCAAAACCGGCGGCUGAGUCGACAACCGCACCCGCCGCGGCCUGAGCUGAAGAGAUAGAAGGAUUCGAAGGGAUUUCGCCCUUGUCAGCACUCCA
rnacentral:misc_RNA from 1 species